GACGAACGCUGGCGGCGUGCUUAACACAUGCAAGUCGAACGGAAAGGCCCUGCUUUUGCGGGUUGCUCGAUAGGCGAACGGGUGAGUAACACGUGAGUAACCUGCCCUUGACUUUGUGAUAACUUCAGGAAACUGGGGCUAAUACCGGAUAGGAUCUCCUGCAGCAUGGUGGGGGUUGGAAAGUUUCGGCGGUUGGGGAUGGACUCGCUGCUUAUCCGCUUGUUUGUGGGGUAGUUGCUUACCAAGGCUUUGACGGGUAGGCGGCAUGGGAGGGUGACCGGCCACAUGGGGACUAAGAUACGGACCAGAAGCCAACCGGACGCAACAGUGGGGAAUAUUGCACAGUGGGCGGAAGCCUGAUACAGAGACGCCGCGUGCGGGAUGACGGCUUUCGGGUUGUGAACCGCUUUCGACUGUGACGAAGCGGGAGUGACGGUAAUGAGUAAAGAAGCACCGGCUAACUACGUG
rnacentral:rRNA from 1 species